rnacentral:rRNA from 1 species
UGCCCGCCCAGUGAAUAUUUUUAACGGCCGCGGUAUCAUAACCGUGCAAAGGUAGCGUAAUCACUUGUCCCCUAAAUAGGGACCCGUAUGAAUGGCUAAAUGAGGGUACACCUGUCUCCUAAAGCCCAUCAAUGAAACUGAUCUACCAGUACAAAAGCUGAUAUAAACACAUAAGACGAGAAGACCCUGCGGAGCUUUAAACCAAGACGCUAAUUCACACUACUAAACAAACCCAAUAAAUCACAAUUGACAAUAACGUCCGUUUUAAGUUGGGGCGACUGCGGAAUAAAAUAAACCUUCCAUGACACAGGCUACACCCCUUCCAAGAAAAACAAAUCUACGAAAACACCAACUGACCCAGUAAAUACUGAUCAACGAACCAAGUUACCCCAGGGAUAACAGCGCCAUCCCCUUUAAGAGUUCAUAUCGCCAAGGGGGUUUACGACCUCGAUGUUGGAUCAGGACACCCAGGUGGUGCAGCCGCUACCAAAGGUUCGUUUGUUCAACGAUUAAUGUCCUACGUGAUCUG